AGACAGACGGACAGAGGGUGCACGGGGCGGACAGACAGGCUGCAGGAGGCGGAUGGGCAGGGGCGCAUGGACAGAAGAGGGCGCAGGGAAUACACGGACAGACGGACAGACAGGAAGGUGCGGGGACAGACAGACGGACAGAGGGUGCACGGGGCGGAUGGACAGGGGCGCAGGGAAUACAUGGACGGACAGACAGACAGGAAGGUGCGGGGACAGACAGACGGACAGAGGGUGCACGGGGCGGACAGAGGGUGCAGGGGAGGAAGGGAUGAGCGCAUGGAUGCACAGAGGGACAGAGGCUGCAGGAGGCGGAUGGACAGGGGCGCAUGGACAGACAGAGGGUGCAGGGAAUACACAGACGGACAGACGGAAAGGUGCGGGGACAGACAGACGGACAGAGGGUGCACGGCGCGGACAGAGGAGGGCGCAGGGAAUACACAGACGGACCGACAGGAAGGUGCGGGGACAGACAGACGGACAGAGGGUGCACGGGGCGGACAGAGGGUGCAGGGGAGGAAAGGAUGGGCGCAUGGAUGCACAGAGGGACAGAGGCUGCAGGAGGCGGACGGACAGGGGCGC